rnacentral:rRNA from 1 species
UACGGGGGGGGCAAGCGUUGUUCGGAAUUACUGGGCGUAAAGGGCUCGUAGGCGGCCAACUAAGUCGGAUGUGAAAUCCCCAGGCUCAACUUGGGAACUGCAUCCGAUACUGGAUGGCUUGAAUUCGGGAGAGGGAUGCAGAAUUCCAGGUGUGAGCGGUGAAAUGCGUAGAUAUCGAGAGGAACACCAGCGGCGAAGGCGGCUCACUGGGCUCCACCUGACGCUGAGGCGCGAAAGCGUGGGGAGCGAACCGG